GCCCUGAUGGUCUAGCGGUAUGAUUCUCCCUUAGGGUUGCGACUCGCUGCUCGUUUGGGAGAGGUCCCAGGUUCGAUCCCUGGUUAGGGCC
rnacentral:tRNA from 1 species